GUUGUCUCUUUCCUGGAAAGUUUUUAAUAUAGCUCAGUCACCUAAUCUUUGAUCUGUUUUUUUUUUUUAAUUUUUUUUAAUGUUUAUUUAUUUCUGAGAUAGAGAGCAUGAGUGGGUUAGGGCAGAGAGAGACGGAGACACUGAAUCUGAAACAGGCUCCAGGCUCUGAGCCAUCAGCACAGAGCCCGAUGCGGGGCUCGAACUCACAAACCGUGAGAUCAUGACCUGAGCCGAAGUCGGUCACUCAACCAACUGAGCCACCCAGGCACCCCUACCUAAUCUUUGAUCUUUACCCUCCAACAAUAGGUAUGUUGUUUGUUACCUUGACCUCGAAUGUACAGCAGUCCAACAUUUGGGGAGGCAUAGCUCAGGUUGCAUUCUCUCACCUGGACUUUGUUUUACUGAAUUCCUCCAGACACAAUAGCUAUUUGAUGAGGACUUGUAAAAAUUAAUGCUCAACUUUGUGCAUUGCUGGUGGGUGGGUAAAAUGGUGCAGCCACCGUGGAAGACAGUAUGGCAGUUGCUCAAAAAGUUAAACCAGCAAUCCCAUUUCUGGGUUUAUUCCUAAAAGAAAUGAAAGCAGGGACUCAAACAUUUACAUACCAGUUUUAACAGCAUCGUUUGCAAUCGCCGAUAUUGGGAACACCUCAAAUGUCCCUUAGCAGAUGAAUGGGUAAAGAAAAUGUGACCUAUACCCAAUGGAAUAUUAUUCAGCCUUUUAAAAAGGAAGGGAAUUUUGAUACAUGCUACAAGGUGGAUGAACCUUGAAAACAUUAUGCUAUGUGAAAUGACCAGAUGCAAUAAGACACAUUUUGUAUGAUUCCACUUAAGUGGUACCUAACAUAGGCAAAUCCAUAGAAACCAGAAAUAGAGAAGGUACCAGGGGCUGUGGGGAAGGGGAGGUGGCAGUUACUGUUUAAUGGGAACAAAGUUUCAAUUUGAGAUGAUGAAAAAGUUCUAAAGCUAGGUGGGGGUAAUGGUGGUACAACACUGUGAAUGUACUUAAAUGCCACUGAGUUGUAUACUUAAAAAUGGUUACAAUGACAAGUUUCAUGUGUCGUGUAUUUUACGUUUUAGAAAAUUUUAUUCAAUUUAUUUAAACUCAAAAACAGAAGUUCACUCAUUUCUCUCAUCCCCCAUUGCCUCUUGGAACCAGCAAUCUGUUCUCCUUUGAUUUUAAAAUUUUGAUUACUGAUUCAAUCUCCUUCCUAGCUACAGGUCUCUCAAACUUUCUACUUUGUCAGUCUUGGUAGGUUUUAUGUUUCUAGAAAUGUGUUCACCUCAUUAGGUUAACCAAUUUGUCGUUGUUGGUUUUCACCUCCCAGAGCAAGUCAUAUGGUCCAACUCCAAAUCAAAAGAUAAGGAACCAUCCUGUGCUUAUCAUGAAGCCAUGGUAAGAGGGGGCUGCAUACUAUAGGUCCACAGAGCAAGGAGCCAGAAGGGAGUAACAACAGGUGUUGAGGAGGAGAGGAGCCCACAACUGAGCAAUGUCUGGGAGGGCUGUGCUGGAGCGGCGAGAACAGCAGGACAACCUGAAAGAUACAGCAUUUUAUUUGCAAAAUCUUGGCCAACUAACUUGAAGAAUGAAAGAAAAUAAUUCCGUCGCUAUCUCAAAAAG